UGUGCCCUCCUGCAGGAGCUCUCGGAGGAGCAGAGCUUUGCCAUCAGCUACCUCGACAUUGACGCACUGAGCCUCAGUGGGCUGCACCAGUGCCUGGUGGAGCUCUCGACGCAGCCGACCACCGUGUGCCACGGGGCUGCCCCGUCCCGCGAUGGUGCCCGAGCCCAGGCCGCCCGCAACGCCCUGCAGUACCUGCGCAUCAUGGCGGGGGGCAAGUGACCCCCCCGGGGGCGAGUGACCCCCCCGGACACACCCAGGACUCGCUGGACUCACGGCAGGGCACCUGGCCCCCAUCCAACACCCCCCGGACACAGGGACCCGCCUGGGUCUGCAGAUGGACAGACACACGGACCUCAGGGCCCAGGGGCUCCCUCUGGCCUGCCCUCCCCCCCCCCCAACAGCGCCAGGAGGGUUCCCGGGCACCAUCGGCCCCCAGGAAUAAAGCUGGGGGGAUUUGUA